AUUGUAUUUCCAUAUUUUUAAAUUUUAGUUAUGGGGAUAAAUACCCAUCUUGUGAGCCCUUGAAGCUUGAACCUUUUUUAGUUUCAGAGUUUGUAAAACUGAAAAUACUGCUAAUAAAAGCAACCAGGUAAUUUUCAAAACAUGGUCAUGCCAUGAUCUUAUUUGACCUUGAUAACUUAUCAGAUCAUUUUAUUAUCUGUAUUUUAAAGAGGGAAAUAGAAAAAAAAAAGCUCUUGGAUUGUGGAGCCAGUGUUUCUAAAGCCCAUCUUGAACUUUAGCAGGAACCCAGAAGAGGCCAAAGAUCAGGGGGUCAUUUUAGCUGUGCAGUUUUCUACUAGGGUACUUGUUGCCCUAGUAGUUGGUCUGUAUGGUAGCAUUCCGCUCCAAAGCUGAUUUGUGGCUGUUGGAGUUCAGCAUUAAUUAAAUUGAACAAAAGUUGAGCACCUACUAAGAGCUGCUCUGUGUUUGAGGGAUUUGGAGUUAAGCAAAGCAAGCAGUCCCUUCUCAUGGAGCUCAUUCCAGUGAAGGAGAACUAAUAGAUAAACUAACCUAUAUCAGAGGAAUGAGUGUGAAGGAAAUGGGAUAUUUGUGAGAUAGAGAAUGGUAAAAUUUUACAUAGAACGGCUUCAUUGAGAAGGAUUCAUUUGAGUAAGGAUGUGAAUGAUAAUAUUUGGGAAAGAUUGUUCCAAGCAGAGGUAAAGUCCCAAAUGUGGGAGCAUGUCUGAAAUGUUCAUGAAAUUGCAUGUAGGCCAGCUUGACUGGAACUGCUUUAAAAAAUGGGAAGUUUGAGAAUGUGGGACUUGAGAUGUGUAGGACCUCUUUGGCUAUUGGAUAUACUUUGGCUUUUCUCUGAGUGCAAUAAUGUGUUUGUCAAUUCAGGCUUCCCUGACAAAAGACUAGAGAUUGGGUGGCUUAAACAAAAGAAAUUUGUUUUCUCACAAUUCUUGAGGUUGGAAGGUCCAACAUUAGGAUGCCACUAUGAUUGGCUUCAGGCUAGUUUCCUGGUUUGUAGACAGUCCUCUCAGGGUAUCUUUACCUAAUGGAGAGAAAGCUCUGGUACCUCUUCCCUUUCACAUAAGGACAUUAGUUCCAGUGGAUCAGGGCUCCACCCUUAUAACCUCAUUCAACUUUAAAAUAACCUUAAAAUGGUUGCCUCCACCUGUCUUGUCUGUGGGUGUAGGGCUCCAAUAUGUUUGGAGUCCAGAACACAUGGCAAGUACAAGAUUUUCAGUAAAAGAAUGAAGUGAACUGACAAAAUUUUGUAUUGGAUGAUGACAUUUUAGGAAGAUAUUGCCACACAAACAUAAUAGAGUUUCAAAAAAAAAUUCCUGUCCUAAUUUUUUAAUGUAUUUUUUCUAUGUUUAGAUAUGUUUAUGUACACAGACACUACUGUAUUAACGAUUGUCUAGAAUACUUAGUACACUGAUAUGCUGUACAGGUUUUUAGCCUAGGAGCAAAAGGCUAUUUCACAUAGUCUAGGUAUGUAGCAAAUAUACCAUCUAGGUUUUGGAAAUUAUACUUUGAUGACUGACAUAACAAAAUAACCUAACAAUGUAUUUUGCCUAAUGUAUCUCUAUAGGUAAGUGACACAUGAUUGUAUUUAAAGGAUCUGUCUAACUGCCAUGUUGAAAGUAGGCAAGAAAGUAAGUGGUGAAGGCAAGAAAAGAAGCAAGAUUUGCUAAGAGGUAUUGCAACAAUCCAGAAAGUGAUGCUUAUACUACAGAAUGUCCAGUGGGAAGGGAAGUGAAUGUUUGAAUUCUGGGGAGACUAGAAUUUGCUGACGGAUGUGGAGUGUGAAAGAAUUCAAGGGAAGAAUAGUAUUGCUCUUUUCUGAGAUGGAAUAGAAGGUAAGAGGAACAUAUUUGGGAAGAAGGACAGGAACUCGGUUGGCAUUGUCUUUUGGUGGAAGCACACAAAUGUAUAAUAAUAGUAAAUAUUCAUUCAAAUAAAUAUAUAAUUGCAAACUGAAAAAUUCUAGGAGAGAGGAACAUGGUACAAAGAGAAUGCAAAAUGGUCCAGACUUAGGAAUGAAGUGACUUUUUGGCAGAGGUCUGAAGGACACUUGGCACCAAACUGUAACUUGCAGGAGGUUUCAAACAAGGGAAAUAGUGUGGACAAAAGUCCUCAUGGAGUGAAUAUGGUGUAUAAGGAUCUUGAAGUCACUUUGGUCAAAGCAUAGGAAUUACAGGGCAAAUGUAGUAAGAGAUAAAUCUGUCUUUAUUCUAAAAGCCCCAUAAAACUAUUAAUGGGUUUCCAAGGAGAUAGAGGGGCACAUGUUCAGAUUUACUUUUACUGAAACUCUCUAUAAAUUGUGGACUGAAGAGUGGAGGAGGAAGACUAAGCAAGAUAUGGCAGGACACAAUUUUUGUUAAUCUAGUCAUAAAGUGAUAAUUAUAGCAGCUAACAUUUCUAGAAAAUUUAUGUCCUGAAUACUGGGCAAAAGCAUUGAUUCAUAAUAAUUUAUAAUAAUUUUCAUAAAUUAUGAAGAAAAUCAGAGGAUCCCAUUUGAAAGAUGGAAAUCUUGGCUAAGUAAAAAAGUAAUUCCAACAUUUCUGGUUUAAGACCCACAAAGGACAGACAAAAGUAACUGCCUUAAAAGAUAAGAAAACUAGCUGGGUGUGGUGGGGCAUGCCUGUAAUCCCAGCAGCUCCAGAGACAGAGACAGGAGGAUUGCAAGUUUGAGACCAGCCUCAGCAAUUUAGCAAGAACCUGUCUAAAAAAUAAAAAGGCCUGGAAAUGUAACUCAAUGGUAAAGUGCCCCUGGGUUCAAUUUCUGGUACCAAAAAAAAAAAAAAAAAGAUAAGAAAACCAUAUAAAGGCACAUGGAAAUAGAAUCAGCAGUGUUAUAUUGGGCCAAGAAGCAUAAAAAGAUCAGCAUUUGACCGUAUAUGUAUUGAUGAACUUAGUACCAUGUAUUUAAUAUACUUAGAUUUUAGUACUAGACAGGACUUAGGUAGUUGUUAUUCUAAAGCUCUUAUUUCACAUGAUAGAAUAUCCUAAAGAUGUAAAUUAACUUAGAUCUACAGAUUCUCAUAUCUGCAGCAUUAAAACAUGUAAGGUUCAAAACCACAUAGAACUUUUAAAAUCAGGAGGGUUUGUUGUUCUUUUUAGUUAUAUAUGACAGUAGAAUGUAUUUUGACAUGUCAUACAUACAUGAGGUAUAAUUUUCCAUUUUUGAGGUAAUAUAGAUGUAGAAUUACACUGGUCAUGUAUUCAUAUAUGAACAUAGGAAAAUUAUGUCCAAAUUCAUUCUACUGUCUUUCCCAUUCCCUCUUUUCCCCAACUCAGCCCUGUCCAAUCUGAUGUGCAGGGUUUUUGUUUUGUUUUUGUUUAAGCGGUAUGUUUUAUUUAAGACACUAGUGCUGCCAUUCUGCCUGGUUAUGGUUUUGUAUUUAUUUAUUUAGAUACUGGGGAUUGGAUGAAGGGGUGCUUUACCACUGAUCCACAUCCCCAGGCCUUUGUAUUUUCCAUUUUAAGACAAGGUC
rnacentral:lncRNA from 1 species